CUGAGUUGCAGAACUCCCAACCAUUGUGAACCUACCUAUCGUUGCUUCGGCGGGGGGGGGCCCUCAGCGGCCUCGCGCCCACCCCCUCGGGGGAGGCAGCCCGCCGGAGGCGUCCAAAACUAUAGCAUACAUUGGCCUCUCUGAGUAGCUUAUAAAAUAAGUCA
rnacentral:misc_RNA from 1 species